AGCAUUUUUUUUUUAAACUUCCACUUUAAUUAAUUAUUAAUCAAUAUAAAAUUCAUAUCGCAGAAGUGUAGCUUAUAUUUGCCAUAUUAUAAGAAAUUGUUUUUUUUUCUCAUAGAGCAUUUCUUACCUUUUUAGGAAAUUUACUGAUAAAGGUAAUCACUAAAACGAAAGAAAAUUAAAGUUUUUUGGAAUUUUAGUUUUUUUUUUUGUUUUUUGAUAAUCAUAAAUUUUAGUUUAUUUUCUCUGUCCAAUUUAUUAUAGUUAGAUAAAACGUUUCAAUACCUUGCAAAAUCUUUCACUUCUUUACUUAUUUUCACCAAACUUUAGAUUAUCUUUCGUUAGUCGUUGCAUCAAUUUUGGUCCAUACAAUUUCAAAUCACUGAAUCAGGAUCAUAUUGCUUCGACUUUAAAACACACGCACACGUGUUAUUUAUUUAUUUUAUUUUUUGUUAUUUAUUUAAUUAUACAUAACUGUAAUUAUUUAUGACAGCAUAUGUAAUGCCAUAUGAUUUUGUUCCAGUUAUAUGUAGUGGGGUAAUGUAUUCGGUCCUUCACUUUUAUAGUACAAAUUAAAAUUUUCUAAUUCAUUUUUGUCUGAAAUAAAUAACUUUUAG
rnacentral:lncRNA from 1 species